rnacentral:ncRNA from 1 species
UGAAUACGUCCCUUGCCCUUUGUACACACCGCCCGUCGCUCCUACCGAUUGGAUGACUCGGUGAAAUCACCGGAUGCUUACGAGCAGAAAGUGAUUAAAUCACGUUAUCUAGAGGAAGGAGAAGUCGUAACAAGGUAACGGUAGGUGAACCUGCCGUUGGAUCAGUU